rnacentral:misc_RNA from 1 species
GAUGAAGAACGUAGCGAAAUGCGAUAAGUAAUGUGAAUCGCAGAAUUCAGUGAAUCAUCGAAUCUUUGAACGCACCUUGCGCCCUUUGGCUAUUCCGAAGGGCAUGCCUGUUUGAGUAUCAUGAACACCUCAACUCUCAUGGCUUGCUGUGAUGAGCUUGGAAUUUGGGGGUCUUGUUGGCUUGUGAGCCAGCUCCUCCUAAAUGAAUUAGCUUGCCGGUGUUUGGUGGCAUCACAGGUGUGAUAACUAUCUACUCUUGUGGUUUCCCAUCAGGUAACCUCCAGUGAUGGAGGUUCGCUGGGGCUCAUAAAUGUCUCUCCUCAGUGAGGACAGAUUUUGACUGUUUGAUCUCAAAUCAGGUAGGACUACCCGCUGAACUUAAGCAUAUCAAUAAGCGGAGGA